rnacentral:lncRNA from 1 species
AUUAAAUUAUAAUUAAAGAUUAGAAAAUACAAUCAAACAUCAAUCAAAUUCAAUUAAAAUUUCAAAAGAAUUAUACAAGAAAUACAAAGAAUUCUUAGAAAUCCUUUCAAGAAAUCAUAAAGAAAUAACAUAUAAAUUCAAAAAAAAAAUUAAAAUAGAAAUCUUAAUAAAAUAUUAAAAUAAAAACCUUAAUUAAAUCUUAGUCAAAAUCUAGUCAAACCUUGGUCAAAUCUUAGUCAAACCUUAGUCAAAUCUUAAUCAAAUCUUAAUUAAAUUCUAAAAAAAUCCUAAUCAAAUCUUAAAUAAAUCCUAAUCAAAUCCUAAUCAAAUUCUAAUCAAAUUCUAAUUCAAUUCUAAUCAAAUCCUAAAUAAAUUCUAAUAAAAUCUUAAUUAAAUCAUAGUAAAAUCUAAGAUCAAAUCCUAAUCAAAUCCUAAACAAAUUCUAAUCAAAUUUUAAUCAAAUCUUAAUCAAAUCCUAAACAAUUCUAAUCAAAUUCUAAAAAAAAUCUAAUAAAAUCCUAAUCAAAUCUUAGACAAAUCCUAAUUGAAUCCUAAUCAAAUCCUAAACAAAUCAAAUCCUAAACCAAAUCCUGACCAAACCCUAUUCCAUUCAAGUAAUUCCUAUAGUAGAUUUAGACCUCAAUAAUUAAUGAAUGAAUCAUUGAUUUUAAGUCAAAAUUUACACACCUCUUAAUAAUGAAGUUAAAAACAAGUACAAAAAAAAUUAAAAAUGAUCAGAAUUACCAAAUAGAUGAUAACCUCAAAAAUAUGCUUGGAUGUCGGCUGACCUCCUUUUCUAACCUUGAUGUCAAUCUCCUAAAGCCAAUUACUCCUGAUUGAACUCUUACUUUG